AUCACUUCUUGAUCUUUAGUCUAAGAUCAAGUGUAGUAUCUGUUUUUAUCAGUUUUAAAAUUUUUACUUAUUGAUUUUAGAAAGAGAGAGAAGAUUGGUUGUUCCACUUAACUCUUGUGUUCAUUGAUUGCUUCUUGUAUGUGCCCCUGCUGGGGAUUGAACCCGAAACCUUGGCAUAUUGGGCCAACACUCU